rnacentral:lncRNA from 1 species
AUGUCCAAUGUGUGCGUGUUUGUGUGUGUGUCCAAUGAGUAUGUGUGUGUGUGUGUGUGUGUGUAUGUUUGUGUGUCUGUGUGUGUGUGUCCAAUGUGUAUAUGUGUGUGUGUCCAAUGUGUGUGUGUGUGUCCAAUGUGUGUGUGUGUCCAAUGUGUGUGUGUGUCCAAUGUGUGUGUGUGUCUGUAUCCAGUGAUUGUGUGUGUGUCUGUAUCCAAUGUGUGUGUGUGUGUGUUUGUGUCCAGUGUGUGUGUGUGUGUGUGUGUGUCCAAUGUGAGUGUGUGUGUGUGUGUGUGUCCAGUGUGUGUGUAUGUGUCUGUGUCCAGUGUUUGUGUGUGUGUCUGUGUCCAGCGUGUGUGUAUCCAAUAUGUGUGUGUGUCCAAUGUAUGUGUCCAUUGUGUGUGUGUGUGUCCAGUGUGUGUGUGUCCAAUGUGUGUGUGUCUAUGUGUGUCUGUGUGUUUGUCCUGUGUGUGUGUGUGUGUGUGUGUGUGUGUCUGUGUCCAGUGUGUGUGUGUGUGUCCAGUGUCCUAUGUGUGUGUGUUUGUGUGUCUAUGUGUGUGUGAGUGUCCAGCCUGUUUGUGUAUAUGUCCAAUGUGUGUGUGUGUCCAAUGUGUGUGUGUGUCCAAUGUGUGUGUGUGUGUCCAAUGGGUGUGUGUGUGUGUGUGUGUCCAAUGGGUGUGUGUGUGUUUCCAAUGUGUGUGUUUGUCCAAUUUUUGUGUGUGUGUCCAAUGUUUGUGUGUGUGUCCAAUGUGUGUGUGUGUCCAAUGUGUGUGUGUGUCCAGUGUGUGUGUGUGUGUGUGUGUGUGUGUGUCCAGUGUGUGUGUCCAGUUUGUGUCCAGUGUGUGUCCAGUGUGUGUGUGUGUGUGUGUGUGUCCAGUGUGUCCAGUGUGUGUGUGUGUGUGUGUGUGUGUGUGUGUGUGUGUGAGUGUGUGUCCAGUUUGUGUCCAGUGUGUGUCCAGUGUGUGUGUGUGUGUGUGUCCAGUGUGUCCAGUGAGUGUGUGUCCAGUGUGUGUGUCCAGUGUGUGUCCAGUGUGUGUGUGUGUUUGUCCAGUGUGUGUCUAG